GAUGAACGCUGGCGGCGUGCCUAAUACAUGCAAGUCGAGCGAACAGACGAGGAGCUUUCUCCUCUGACGUUAGCGGCGGACGGGCGAGUAACACGUGGAUAACCUACCUAUAAGACUGGGAUAACUUCGGGAAACCGGAGCUAAUACCGGAUCAUAUAUUGAACCGCAUGGUUCAAUAGUGAAAGACGGUUUUGCUGUCACUUAUAGAUGGAUCCGCGUCGCAUUAGCUAGUUGGUAAGGUAACGGCUUACCAAGGCAACGAUGCGUAGCCGACCUGAGAGGGUGAUCAGCCACACUGGAACUGAGACACGGUCCAGACUCCUACGGGAGGCAGCAGUAGGGAAUCUUCCGCAAUGGGCGAAAGCCUGACGGAGCCACGCCGCGUGAGUGAUGAAGGUCUUCGGAUCGUAAAACUCUGUUAUUAGGGAAGAACAAAUGUGUAAGUAACUAUGCACGUCUUGACGGUACCUAAUCAGAAAGCCACGGCUAACUACGUG
rnacentral:rRNA from 1 species